rnacentral:rRNA from 1 species
AUUGAACGCUAGCGGGAUGCUUUACACAUGCAAGUCGAACGGGGUGGCGGACGGGUGAGUAAUAUAUCGGAACGUGCCCAGUAGCGGGGGAUAACUACUCGAAAGAGUGGCUAAUAACGCAUAAUAUUGGAUCGGAGGGUAUCGGAUUAGCUAGUUGGUGGGGUAAAGGCUCACCAAGGCAAAGAUCCGUAGCUGGUUUGUGAGGACGACCAGCCACACUGGGACUGAGACACGGCCCAGACUCCUACGGGAGGCAGCAGUGGGUAAUUUUGGACAAUGGGGGAAACCCGGAUCCAGCCAUCCCGCGUGUAUGAUGAAGGCCUUCGGGUUGUAAAGUACUUUUGGCAGAGAAGCGGUAUCUGCAGAAUAAGCACCGGCUAACUACGUGCCAGCAGCCGCGGUAAUAC